rnacentral:rRNA from 1 species
CAGCAGCCGCGGUAAUACGAGGGGAGCUAGCGUUAUUCGGAAUUACUGGGCGUAAAGCGCACGUAGGCGGCUUUGUAAGUUAGAGGUGAAAGCCCAGAGCUCAACUCUGGAAUUGCCUUUAAGACUGCAUCGCUUGAAUCCAGGAGAGGUGAGUGGAAUUCCGAGUGUAGAGGUGAAAUUCGUAGAUAUUCGCAGGAACACCAGUGGCGAAGGCGGCUCACUGGCCCGAUACUGACGCUGAGGCACGAAAGCGUGGGGAGCAAACAGGAUUAGAUACCCGGGUAGUCCCUGUCUCUUAUAC